GACGGGGGGUCCAAGCGUUGUUCGGAAUCAUUGGGCGUAAAGCGUGUGCAGGUGGCUUUGUAAGUUGGAUGUGAAAGCCCCGGGCUUAACUCGGGAAGUGCAUUCAAAACUACAAAGCUUGAGUAAGGAAGAGGGUCGUGGAAUUCCUGGUGUAGUGGUGAAAUACGUAGAUAUCAGGAGGAACACCGGUGGCGAAGGCGGCGACCUGGUCCUAUACUGACACUCAUACACGAAAGCGUGGGGAUCAAACAGG
rnacentral:rRNA from 1 species